rnacentral:misc_RNA from 1 species
GAAGAGCAUUGGCAGCGGUGACUAAUCUAGUUGUCCCGUGUUAAUGUAAGUCUCUUCUCUGAAAAAAUAGAACAUUUCACUUGUCUCUUUGCACACUGGAUAUUUGGCACUCUAUGUAGAUGUAGUUUGGUUUUAUUUUUGUUUGUGAUUUUAUAUUUUGUUGAUCAAGGGGGAAGUAAGGAAGAACUGAAAUAUACUCUCUCUUUUUCCUUGCUUUGGCAUAACAAAUGUAGUAAGUAGUUUCAUGGUUUUUUUCCUUUUUUU